rnacentral:rRNA from 1 species
GCUAAGGACUCUACGGGAGGCAGCAGUGGGGAAUAUUGCACAAUGGGCGCAAGCCUGAUGCAGCCAUGCCGCGUGUAUGAAGAAGGCCUUCGGGUUGUAAAGUACUUUCAGCAGUGAGGAAGGUGGGUAUGUUAAUAGCAUAUUCAUUUGACGUUAGCUGCAGAAGAAGCACCGGCUAACUCCGUGCCAGCAGCCGCGGUAAUACGGAGGGUGCGAGCGUUAAUCGGAAUUACUGGGCGUAAAGCGCAUGCAGGUGGUUUGUUAAGUCAGAUGUGAAAGCCCCGGGGCUCAACCUCGGAAUUGCAUUUGAAACUGGCAAACUAGAGUACUGUAGAGGGGGUAGAAUUUCAGGUGUAGCGGUGAAAUGCGUAGAGAUCUGAAGGAAUACCGGUGGCGAAGGCGGCCCCCUGGACAGAUACUGACACUCAGAUGCGAAAGCGUGGGGAGCAAACAGGAUUAGAUCCCCUGGUAG